CCUACGGGAGGCAGCAGUGGGGAAUAUUGCACAAUGGGGGAAACCCUGAUGCAGCGACGCCGCGUGAGUGAUGAAGUAUCUCGGUAUGUAAAGCUCUUUCAGCAGGGAAGAAAAUGACGGUACCUGACUAAUAAGCCACGGAUAACUACGUGCAAGCAGCCGCGGUAAUACGUAGGGGGCCAGCGUUAUCCGGAUUUACUGGGUGUAAAGGGAGCGUAGGCGGCGCUGCAAGUGCGGAGUGAAAGCCCAUGGCUUAACCAUGGUACUGCUGUUGAAACUGUGGAGCUUGAGUGUGGGAGGGGCAGGCGGAAUUCCGAGUGUAGCGGUGAAAUGCGUAGAUAUUAGGAGGAACACCGGCGGCGAAGGCGGCCUGCUGGACCGUAACUGACGCUGAUGCACGAAAGCGUGGGGAGCAAACAGGAUUAGAUACCCUUGUAGUC
rnacentral:rRNA from 1 species